rnacentral:ncRNA from 1 species
CUGGUGGACCAUUUCAGCUCCUAGACACAUAGGUUUGGUCCUGGCCUUUCUAUUAGUUGUUAGUAGAAUUACACAUGCAAGAAUCCUCGACCCUGUGAAAAUGCCCUCUAUACCACCAAGUGAUAAAAAGGAGCUGGUAUCAAGCACACUAUAAGUAGCUCAAAACGCCUUGCUCAGCCACACCCCCACGGGAAACAGCAGUGAUAAAAAUUAAGCAAUAGACGAAAGUCUGACUAAAUCAUGCUAUCUAAGGACUGGUAAAUCUCGUGCCAGCCACCGCGGUCAUACGAUUAGGCCAAACUAAUAGACAUUCGGCGUAAAGGGUGUUUUAGAAACUCCACACAUCAAAUAAAGUUAAAAUUUAACUAGGCCGUAAAAAGCUUUAGUUAUCAUUAAAUACACUAACGAAAGUAACUUUAUUAAAUCUGAUUACACUACAGCUAAGGUCCAAACUGGGAUUAGAUACCCCACUAUGCUUAGCCCUAAACAUAAAAAAUUUAAAAAACAAAAUUAUUCGCCAGAGAACUACUAGCUAAAGCUAAAAACUCAAAGGACUUGGCGGUGCCUUACAUCCAUCUAGAGGAGCCUGUUCUAUAAUCGAUAAACCCCGAUCUACCUCACCAACCUUUGCCAAACCAGCCUAUAUACCGCCAUCUUCAGCAAACCCUAAAAAGGAAAUAAAGUAAGCACAACUAUUAACAUAAAAACGUUAGGUCAAGGUGUAGCUUAUGGGUUGGAAAGAAAUGGGCUACAUUCCCCGACUCAGGGAACCUGUAACGAAAACCAGUGUGAAAUCAUAAGUUAAAGGUGGAUUUAGUAGUAAAUUGAGAGUAGAGUGCUCAAUUGAAUAAGGCCAUGAGGCGCGCACACACCGCCCGUCACCCUCCUCAAGUGGGAUAGUAAAUAUACUUACAGAGAAAUAAUAAUCAUAAACUACAAGAGGAGAUAAGUCGUAACAAGGUAAGUGUACUGGAAGGUGCACUUGGAUAAUA